GAAAGGUAGAAGGAAGUAGGGAGCAAUCCAGAUGAUGUGAACAGCCAAUCAAAAGCCUUGAAAUGGGAGUUUGUGUGACAUUUUAGGAACUGUGAGAAAGGCAAGGUGGUAAAAACAGAGGAGUGAAGCGGGCAGGGUAGGAGAGGCUGCAGGGUAGACCUAGGCAAAUGAUGUAAGACCCAAGAAUUUAAUAAGCAUUCCUUAGUUUUUUAAUUCAUAUAAUACCAUACAAAUAUACACUCCACGAAAAACUGAAGGUAGGGGAGAAGAAAAGAAUAAAGCUAUUCUAGCAAAUUGCCCAUAGAUUAUCUGUUCUAAUUCUUACAACACUGUGAAUUCGAUAUUAUUUCCAUUUCAUAGAUGAAGAACUUGAUGCUUUGAGAUGUUAACAAAACUGCCCAAGAUCAUAUAACUAAUAAGUGAUAGAACUAAGAUUUGAAUUUCAAGUGUUUUACAUCUAUACAACUUGUAGAAACUGUCCUUGUAAUACCAUUUUGGUUUUGGCUUUUCAGUUAUUUCAGCUGUUUGAAAAUGGAAUUGCCUAUUUCUGUGCUGGCUCUUAAUUCUUUUGAAGUUGCUGGACUUUCAGGAAUUUGAAACCGUGUUCCCGCGUCCUCAUGCGGCCGACCACACCCGCCUUUCUUCACAUUCCCAGAAGCAAUCUUGUGCCUGAACCACACUCUUUUCUGGAAUUGGGGGAGGCGCCGUGGAGCCACCUUAGAGAACAUAGAGGAAGACAUGAAUUUAGGAUGGCUAAGCAAAAACAUGAAUGAGCAAGAGUCCUCAGUGCCAAAGGGCCUACGCAUCUGUUACUGAAGGGAGAUUAAAAAAUCUGUCUUACACUCUACUACUUAUUCCUAGUUGAAUAUACUUCUAACUAAUAACAUAAGCUGAGAAGAGGCACAGUGGUGUGUGAAGCUAGUUUUCAUUCGUUGAGAACACAGAAUAGAUUUUUAUCUGAUGGAACUGAUUGGACAAGAGGAAAAAAUAGUUAUAUUAACUAUACCAUUCAGUAAUUUAAUGAAUGUUUAUACAUCUAAAAUGUUUCAGUACCAAACACCUAUAUUUCUGAGCAAAUGUGGAUUUAUCUUUUCACCAGUGAGAGGUAAAUAAAUUUGGUCUGUGCCUAAUACUUUGAAAAAGCAUGCACAUCUACACUGGCUUUAACAUGUUAAAUUAAGAAAUAUGUUUUAAAAUAAGUCUAGAAGGUGGUGGUAUAGCAUAAUACUAAAGGAAGAAACUUGAGACCAGAAGAGGUCUGGAUGUGGGUUAGAGCUAUGUCACUGUGGUAGGCAGAAUUCUGAAUGACCCUCAUGAUCCCUGUCCCCUGGUUGUAUUCCACUUUCAUUGAAUAUAGAUAGAACCUACCCUAUAACCAGAUAUUAAUUGGUUGACUUUGAGUGCAUCAAAAUGGAGAAAAUCAAGGUGGAUCUGACCUAAUUAAUGAGCCGUUAAAAAAAAAAAAUGACAGGACCAUUUCUAGAGUCCGCAAGAGCGGAAGAGUUGUGGGAGGCCACAGUAAGGCUUGAGACAAGGACCAAACCAGGCCCUGACUUGUGCCUCCUUUAAAGUCCGAAUAACCUAACAAA
rnacentral:lncRNA from 1 species